UAGACGGAAGCCUGUUAGGUUUAGGCAUCUAGCUGUUAACUAGGAUUUUUGCGGGAUCGAGGCCCGCCUGUCUAG
rnacentral:tRNA from 1 species